rnacentral:lncRNA from 1 species
CUUGAAAGCAUUCUUAUGAAACACUUGGGUAAAUGAUUCAGAGCAGAUGCCUGAACUCUCCAAAGUAGUAGGGAACACGAAACAUCUCAGUGAGUAAAAUGCCAAGUCAAUAGGAUAGACUUCAGGAAGAUUGCACCAGCUGGGUGAGUGGGCAGAACAGCGGCAGAUGAAUCUUCAAGGACAAGACAGCAGAUGCCUUUAGGACAAACAAUCCCAAGUCAGAAAAAAAUGGUCUCUGAAGGGUUUUGGAAGGUCCAUGCUUGCACAAGAAAUAAGACUCUUUACAGUUCUGUGUGAUUGGAAGUUUUCGCACACUUGAGCUAAGACAUGGGAAGGUAAAUUAAAAAGAAAUCAGCACUGAAGGAGAGAAUGAGGAAGUCAUAGAGUGCACACACCCAGUCUGGGCCAAGGGUGUGCACUGAAGAUAAGCCAGUCCUACCUGCCUGUCCUGAUGUACCCAGACCUGGAUCCAUGGUCUCUUUUCAUAUCAGUGUUGAAUUUCACUUUGGUCUUUGCUGCCAAACGGAGAAAGCAUUGGCACGGAUAUUGGAAGUGGGCAGUUCUCCCACCCAGCAGGACAGUCUUCCUGAUACAAAGUCGCCACAGAGAAAUUUGCUGUCACCUCAUCCCUUAAAACGAAAGCCAGGAUGGAGGGACUCUCCACCAGGGGGCAAUGUAUCACAUGAUCAGAAAAAGUAAUAAAUUGAUAGCAAGCAGCCAUGUUUUGAAUUUUCAGCUUGUUGAUUAUUUUUCUUUUCUGAGACAGGGUCUCUCUACAUAACGGAGGCUGUCCUGAGACUCUAAAUAUAGAUGAGGCUGGUCUUGAACUCAUGGAAAUCCACUUGCCUUUGCAUCCUGAGUGCUGGGAUUAAAGGUGGCUGGUUGGUUUUACAUUUGAACUAACUUGAAAUAUCAGAAAAUCUAGCAAUUACUGGCUCUGCAUUUCUUCGUGAUGCUCCCAGGAAGAAGAUUCAGAAUCAGCCUCCAAGUGAGGUGUGGAUGUUCUCCAGCAACUGACGAGGACCCAGUAUUACCGAGAGUCCACGUAUAGUUUUAUUGAUGAUGCCUAGCCCAAUUGUCAUCAGAGAGCCUUCACCUAGCAACGGAUGGAAACAGAUGCAGAGACCCUCAGCCAAACAUUAGGCAGAGCUUGGGGAAUCCUACAGAAGAGAGGGAGAAAGGAUUGUAGGAGCCAGAAGGGUCAAGGACAUCACAACAAAACCCACAGAAUCAACUAACUGGGCUUAUAGGGGCUCAUAGAGACUGGACUGACAACCAUGGAGCCUACAUGGGACCGACCUAUAACCUCUGCACACAUGUUACAGUAGUGUAGCUUGGUCUUCUUGUGGGACUCCUAACAGAGGGAGCAGGGGAUGUCUCUGACUCUAUUACCUGCUUUUGGGAUGCUUUCCUCCUAGUGGUUGCCUCAUCCAGACUCAAUAGAAAAGGAGGUGCCUAGACUCACUGCAAGUUCAUAUACCAUGGCUGACUGAUAUACAUGGGAGGCCUGCCCUUUUCUGAAGAGAAACCAGAGGAAGAGUGGGUUAUGGGAUGGCAUGGGGGAUAGUGGGGGGGUGGAAGUGUGGUGGAGGAAGAGACAUGGACUGACUAGGGGGAGAGG